rnacentral:rRNA from 1 species
UGCAAUUGGAAUGAGUUCACUUUAAAUCCUUUGACAAGGAUCCAUUGGAGGGCAAGUCUGGUGCCAGCAGCCGCGGUAAUUCCAGCUCCAAUAGCGUAUAUUAAAGUUGCUGCGGUUAAAAAGCUCGUAGUUGGAUCUCAGUUCUGGACCGACGGUUCGCCUCUGGCGAUUUACUGUCGGUCCAAACCGAUCGUCGGCUCGCACGGGGUGCUCUUCAUCGAGUGUCCCGCGUGGCCGGCAUGUUACUUGAAA